UACAGAGGUCCCGAGCGUUGUUCGGAUUCACUGGGCGUAAAGGGUGCGUAGGCGGUCGGGUAAGUCUGAUGUGAAAUCUCUGGGCUUAACCCAGAAAUGGCAUUGGAUACUAUUUGGCUUGAGAGUUGGAGGGGGGACUGGAAUUCUUGGUGUAGCAGUGAAAUGCGUAGAUAUCAAGAGGAACACCAGUGGCGAAGGCGAGUCCCUGGACAACUUCUGACGCUGAGGCACGAAAGCUAGGGGAGCAAACAGG
rnacentral:rRNA from 1 species